ensembl:snRNA U6 U6 spliceosomal RNA
UCGCUCUUGCAGUGUGUAUACUAAAAUGGGAACAAUGCGGAGAAUAUGAACACGGCCUCUGCACAAGGAUGACAUGACCAUUUGUGAAUCGUGGCAUUUUUUU